rnacentral:rRNA from 1 species
GAUUAAGUUAUUAAGGGCGCACGGUGGAUGCCUUGGCACUAGAAGCCGAUGAAGGACGUUACUAACGACGAUAUGCUUUGGGGAGCUGUAAGUAAGCUUUGAUCCAGAGAUUUCCGAAUGGGGAAACCCAGCAUGAGUUAUGUCAUGUUAUCGAUAUGUGAAUACAUAGCAUAUCAGAAGGCACACCCGGAGAACUGAAACAUCUUAGUACCCGGAGGAAGAGAAAGAAAAUUCGAUUCCCUUAGUAGCGGCGAGCGAAACGGGAAGAGCCCAAACCAACAAGCUUGCUUGUUGGGGUUGUAGGACACUCUAUACGGAGUUACAAAGGACGACAUUAGACGAAUCAUCUGGAAAGAUGAAUCAAAGAAGGUAAUAAUCCUGUAGUCGAAAAUGUUGUCUCUCUUGAGUGGAUCCUGAGUACGACGGAGCACGUGAAAUUCCGUCGGAAUCUGGGAGGACCAUCUCCUAAGGCUAAAUACUCUCUAGUGACCGAUAGUGAACCAGUACCGUGAGGGAAAGGUGAAAAGCACCCCGGAAGGGGAGUGAAAUAGAACCUGAAACCGUGUGCUUACAAGUAGUCAGAGCCCGUUAAUGGGUGAUGGCGUGCCUUUUGUAGAAUGAACCGGCGAGUUACGAUUUGAUGCAAGGUUAAGCAGUAAAUGUGGAGCCGUAGCGAAAGCGAGUCUGAAUAGGGCGUUUAGUAUUUGGUCGUAGACCCGAAACCAGGUGAUCUACCCUUGGUCAGGUUGAAGUUCAGGUAACACUGAAUGGAGGACCGAACCGACUUACGUUGAAAAGUGAGCGGAUGAACUGAGGGUAGCGGAGAAAUUCCAAUCGAACCUGGAGAUAGCUGGUUCUCUCCGAAAUAGCUUUAGGGCUAGCCUCAAGUGAUGAUUAUUGGAGGUAGAGCACUGUUUGGACGAGGGGCCCCUCUCGGGUUACCGAAUUCAGACAAACUCCGAAUGCCAAUUAAUUUAACUUGGGAGUCAGAACAUGGGUGAUAAGGUCCGUGUUCGAAAGGGAAACAGCCCAGACCACCAGCUAAGGUCCCAAAAUAUAUGUUAAGUGGAAAAGGAUGUGGCGUUGCCCAGACAACUAGGAUGUUGGCUUAGAAGCAGCCAUCAUUUAAAGAGUGCGUAAUAGCUCACUAGUCGAGUGACACUGCGCCGAAAAUGUACCGGGGCUAAACAUAUUACCGAAGCUGUGGAUUGUCCUUUGGACAAU